ACCCACUAGUCACUGCCUGCCAUUCUGAAAAUUACCCGUUUACUCCUACUCUUUGCUUCCUGUCUGCCAGCCAGUUCGUUAUCCAGAUCAAUACUGAACCACCAGUACCGUGUGCUUUACGUAUGCCUACGAGUCUCUAAUGUGGGACCUUGUCGAAAGCCAUCUGAAAGUCCAUAUACACAACAUCCACUGCUUUACCCUCAUC